UUGCCAUAUCCCGAAAAUGUGACUGCAGCUGUACCAUUCUCUUCAUCAAUCUCUUCAAUUUCCGCUUCAUAACACCUGUAAAGAUAUCAUGGCUGUAAGCAUAAAGAUCUAAGCUCAAAACGGCCAACUGCUUUAGGACUGCAGAAGCAAAGGGAAGGAUACCCUGGACAUGUACUGACAAGAAAACUGAAGUCCACCAGGUGGCACCAUUUGUAUCCAGACAAGAACACCUACAACAGAAGACCACUCUGGCUGCAACUGUAUAUAAAUGACCACCUAUACGAGUCAUGUCACAACUUUGUUCUAGUAUAAACUGAUCAUACUCCCCCACCUUUUUCCUUCACUCUCUUUCCAAUGUCUUUUCUCAUGCUGGUUUGUAAGCCUAAGGGCAAAGCCUGUGCUCUAUUUUUACUUUGGUACAAAGCACGCCACCUGAUGUGAGCUGGUUUGGAAGACACUAUUUGUCUAGUCAGUAGCAUGAAGACAAAUCAAAUUGUGUGUGUGUGUGUGUGUGUGUGUGUGUGUGUGUGUGUACUUUAUGUGUGUAUAACGUGUGUGUGUAUAACUUAAGUUAUAGAUUGGUCUUCUAUCCUCAGAUUUGGACAGCUGAACACUACAUUUUUACACUUGCCCUCAAUUUGUAAGAGAUUUGUAUGCUUUAAGAAAGGCACCACACUCUUGAUUUGUUGGGAUCACCCAUAUGACCGAUCCAGGAAUCACUGCCACUAUUCACACAAAAAGAAUAAAAACAGUUGCUGGACAUGCCUUCCAAAGUGCCACUGGGGCAGUUUGAAGAAAUUACAUAUAGCUGUCAAAACAGGGACUGGCUUUCCCAACCUAUGAAAAACAUAGGAUAAAAUCAAAGAAGUUUCAGCAAGCUCAAAAUGCCUCAUAAUUGUAGUAGGGAAGUCAGCUGCCCCAAAUAUGACUUUGGCAUCUGUGGAGAAACAGGCACUGGCAUUUGCCUGGAGUCCCAUGGCAAAAACAGUUGCUCUUUUUUGCUUGCCAUGAGAAUUGAUAGCCAGGUGCUCCUAAGAAAGCCCAGGCCAGUAAUGAGGUACCAACUCAAAUUGGGUUCUUAUGUAGUUUAAAAUCCAAUCAGUGCCUUUUGUUUGAUGAUGACUUCGUUCAGACAACACAACAACCCACCAUGGAUUAAUUUACCCACAGGUCUGGGGCACAUUCCAUCCCCUUUUACAAAUGUGCAAGCCCUGGCUGGGGGAUACCAUAGAUUAUCAUAUUACAUUCUGUUACCCAGGUUGACAUAUUUGUGGUUGAACCACCCUGCCCAUAAACCAUGGGCCAUUUUAAGAUUAUUAACUUUUUAAAAAUCCCUCCCAUCUGGGUUCAGACAAUAAGACAAGCCACAGAACCUCUGGUCAAGGCUCAUAUAUUCAUAGGAGCUUAUACUUAUAUAACUAUGCCUACAGGGAGUAGUAUAUCUUGCUUUAUAUAAAAUUUAUAGGUGUUUGCAUACAUCUGUUGUAACUGAUCUAUCAAAAUCUCAUGUAAGAUAACUACAAUACUCUCUUAUUGUUAAUGUUUUGAAUUUUCAUUUUGCUUUGAUUUAUUGAAACUUACAAUUAAACAUUUAUUAAAAAAACAAAAACAAAAAAUGAUGGCAUGUUGCAAGCAUCACAGCUCUUUGUGGGUAAAUAACCCAGGAUAAGCUGUUGUUCUGUGUGACUGGCCUGAUACCAGCUACAAUAAAUAUAUGCAUCAACUAAAAGGAGUACA